GCGGGGGGGAAGCGGUGGGAAGGGUCGCGUUGGAGGGGCAGCGAAAAAGGGUCAGAGGCUGCUGGGGGCUGCAGAGGACACCGAGUGCCGCCCCGAGCAGUGUCCCUGGGCUCCAAACUGGAGGAGCACGUUGUCAUUGACACACUGUGGUCAUCCUGAACUGGUGCUUCAAGCAGAGACUGCUCAACAUGAGGAGGAUCUGCAUGUUCAUGCUGGACAAGGCUGGACCUCAUGAUUGACAUGCAGGACUUCUCCUCCCAGAGCAUCCACAUCCAGAGAUGGAUCACAGAAACCUGCUUUUGGCACAGGAAAAUGCAAAAGGGGAGAGUUAGAAGGGCUCUCCUAAAAGACUGACAGAUGCUGCUUUUCUCUGCCACCUUCUGUAAAAUGUGUGGAAGUUCACCUUGUAGAUCAUCUCCAGAUCCAUCAUCAUCAAGCUGUGGCAGGAGAAGCUUGCCCUAACCAACACCAGGCUACUGCUUUGUCUGCAGGAACUGGGAGCAGAAGUAUGCAGCCCUCUGCAACCGCUAUGGCAGCAUUUCCAGGCCUUAAUGUUCUGCCAGGUACAGCUCAUUGGUAAGCAGUGAGCUGCCAGUGAUCCAUCUGACAUGAUCAAGCCCAGUGUGAUGUCAGCUCUGCUUCAAUGAUCGCCAAAAACGAGGGAACAAGGUGCAAGGGACGGAUGGGAAACACACAGUGAGAAUUAAAAGCUCAGAGUGGUAACAGCAUCUAAUAGUUGGAACCAAGCCAGUUGCUUGGCUUUCGUGGUGGGCAUUACGUGGAAACCAUGCUCUGUUCCCUCAACCUUUGUGUUCAAAAGCAUUUGGUGACCCAAUUUCUUUCUUUUUUUUUUUUUUUCUUUUUUUUUUUUGCCUUAGUUUGAGGCUCUGCCUAUUCCAAAGCACCAGAGACUUGGAAAAGAGCAGGGGUGUUGGGAAUAUGUGGGACUGGCAGCGAGGGAGUAAGGAUUUGGGUAAAGUGAUGGACAGGCUUUAAGUUAGAGGAACAAUAGUAGGGAUUUGGAGAAGUUAAAGGUACAUAGAUUGAAACCAACAGUUGCAGAGCUGCUGGAGAAGCUCGGUUGCCUUCUUUCAUCCAUGCAGACCUGCUGGAGGGCAGACUGACUCAGUGAAGAUGAUUCUAGAUGGGCACUGAGUGGUCCUUCAUUCAUUCUCUAUACUUCUGUCUCCCUUUUUUCCAAACCAUCUGUUAGGAAAAGUUCUGCUGAGAAUGAACUUUUAUGCAUGUAGAGAAAGGAAUAAAAAAAAUAAUAAUAAUCUCAAGGAAUCCAUACCUAGUGACGCAAAGAGAAGCGUGGAAGAUUCAAAGUCUUGGCCUGAGAAAAUUAUUUGGUCAGCAAUAUAAAAAAUGGAGAGAGCAGACAGUCAAGACCAGAAAUGUAGAUUUGCCAGUAAUCAAGCCAGAUGCUUAAGAUUUUGAUGGUAUAUUUGUGGUGACAGGGAGGAGUGUGUUAAGUGGUGCACAUUAGAUAAGCUAGGCAUCACUUGGAAACCUGUGUGCCUGGAGCACUUAGUGUCAUGCUCAGGGUGCUGCCAGGGUAGAGGUCCUGUCCACAGGAAGAAAUGAGCAAGACAUAUGGAAGGACGGGGAGCCACAUUUUAACCUUGAGUUGAUGGCUAGAUAGGAAGGAUCUUGGAGCACUAACUUGGUCUAGGGAAGAGAAACCAGAAGUGUAACUGGAUGUGAGUUCUCCUCUUUUGCUGUUGUCUUGUCUGCCCACCUCAGCUUGGGCAGAGCCAUGGAAGCCCUCAGUCUUGUUCUCCCAAGGGAUUCUGUUCGAUGCUGGAACUAUGAAAGUAGGUUUAUGCUCCCACCCCAGGGAGCUGGGUAACUUCCCAGUUCUGAGGCACGCAGGUGGGAGAGGGCAGGCCACUGCCUCUGCCCCUUUCUGUCUCUGCUUAAUGGCAGCAUUUCUUCUUCUUCCUGUCAAGACCCUGCUCAAGAAGUUGUCUCACUCCAAUCUAUAGGAGGGAGAGGAGGUUCUUUUGUUGUCUAUCUACUCGGUGUGAAACAACAGUUCAAAUGUUGGUCCGACCAGUUUAUUACAAAUCUUCAUUAGGGAAAUGGGGAAGGGGAGGACGGACACUAUUAUGAAUUAGAGUAAUGGGGAAGGGAAGGAGGGCGAUAGAAAAGAUAGGAAAGAAGAAAAGAAGAAGCAAGGAGUCUUUAUAGGAAGCAAGAGGGAGAUGAUCACCACCAUGGAUCCAGCGUGGUUUGUAGUUCAGUCAUUGAUCUUCAGUAGGGUGGGUGGCCAGACAGAGUUGGUCUGUUGAUGACGGCGAUGACAACGACCGUGGCAAUGAUGGCCCCUUUUCAAUGGUUUCAAAGCAGCCGAGUCAGCUGUCUUUGGAGUGACAGCUCAAAUCCACAGUGGUUGAGUCAGCUCUCCUUGGAGUGGCAGCUUCUGGCUCUGGGAUCUCAGCAGAAACUCCUUUGUUCUUCCGGGCCUUGCCAGCAGAUAAGAGGGAGCAGGGAUGCCCAUCUGCAUCCUGUUUUUCAUGGGACACAAUGGUAUCAUUCCCCAGUUUUCCCAUACCUAGCUGGAGCUGUUUAGUCACAGGCCAGAUCUUCAGCCAGUGAACACUCCCGAGUGCUCUCUUCCAGAGGCAAGCAGCUCUGGAGGAAGGGGCUUUCAAAUGUUCCCAAAGCGAUAUCGAUUGUCACACGGUUAGCACCCAUCACUUGCCUCCUCAACAAAUCGAUCAGAGUUUUAUCACACAAAAUACCUCAGGAAGCAAGCUUUGAGCCAAAAAAAAAAAAAACAAAAAAAACAAAAAAAAAACCAAAGAAGGAUUCUCGCAGAAGUACAUUGUAGUUGUAAGGAAUUACAGAUUUUAUUUUAAACAGUCAGUCUUGGGGUGUGGAGCCUUGAAAGAUAUGUCUCAGAUAGUAGUGUUGCAGAAACACAGGCCGUAUCCUUGCCUCCAGCCAUGACACUUGGGAAACCCUCACUGGAAGCCAGUCGGAGCUGACUUACAUGCGCUUGCUAAUUCAGAGGGAAAAACGGUUUUGUGUUUGAGGUGGGUUUCAGUUAUUUCUCAGGCUUUUGCUUUGAUGCUCAACUGAUGCUUUCGAAAGUUAAUUUGGUUAUUUAUUAACGAGGCUGUCUUACUGCAAGCAAAGACCUCAUGGAGCUCAAUAUAUAUCUCGUUCCACAAAUUUUUAUUAGAAAGAAUGAAUACUACAACUUUGCAAGGAUUUUAGCAGUAUGUAAAUCUUCCAUGAUAAACUAGCUUUAGCUACAGAAAUUACAGGGACCAACACUUAUUUCUGCUGGUUCAUUUAUAAUUUACACCAAUGUCAUACUUUGCCCAUGGUAAUAAAUUCCAUUCAUGAUGCAGUUCUAGUUUCAGUUUUGAUGAUAAAACAGAAGUGUCCACAGUGGUCUGUUGCAGCGGAGCGUUCUCAAGGCUGGGAUUGCUGUUCUCUGUACACUGCCUUCCUUCUCUAUGUGCUCACUAGUGAGUUUCUAACCUUAAGUAUAUUACUAAAAAUGUUGAAAGCAUUCUUGCCCUUACAGUGAGCAAGGUAGCAAGCUGAGGAGCAGACUUGGGGUCGCAUUUUCAUUGCAGUAAUGGUUUCAAGGCUCUUGCUUGCUUCUAUCAAUACUGUAAAAUAAAAAUCUUUUGCAAGAGAAAAACUUCAGUGCAUUUUUUUUCUCUUUGUUAUUUCUGAAAUGCUGGCUACCACACUUGAAGUGGAACAAUAUGAGUAAAUGACAAAUACACAAAGGUUUUUCUGGAGAGAGCAAGGUCUGAUGUGGAGGGUUGAACUAUUAAAUCAGCCAGUUGAAUGAAGUUCCCAUUACUUCAUUCUACAUUGCAGAGUUCUCCAUUAGCCACAUAAAGAACACUGGAACUAUAAAGUAAAAAUGCUAUGCUGCUCUCUGCAGAAAAAAAUGGCCUGUAGAAAUAAUGGACAGUGAGGGGAGGGGUGGGAGGAACUCAGAAGAGCUCUGUGCAGACAGUAGCGUACAGGUUUUGCUGAACUGCUUACAUGAAAUGAUGUUUCAGGCUCAAUCAUAACUGUGUAGUCAAAGUAGUCACAUGCCACACAAAACUUUCCUCCAAAGUCUCAGAAGAUAGUUUGAUGCUACAUUGUGAUGGCCAAGUGCAGGUUCAAGAAGUGAAAAGUCUCACAGUAGCUUUCUCACCUUCAGUUGCUUUGUAGCAUGAAUUGAUUUUGCAUGGUUUGUUAGAUUUACCGUGGUUGUUGGCAUCGAGGAGUAAGUGCAGCUGUUCUGCUGAAACACCUGCAGCCUGUUCUCUGCAUUAUCCAUGCAUAUGACGGGGAGGUCAGCACCAGAAUGACAAU